AUUCCCUUGGGCAGCACAUAUACUAACAUUUAAAAAAUACAGAGAUUAGCAUGGCUCCCACACAAAGAUGACAUGUGAAAGUAAUAGAUUCAUUUUGUCUUG